rnacentral:rRNA from 1 species
CAGUAGCCACGGUAAUACGGAGGGUGCAAGCGUUAAUCGGAAUUACUGAGCGUAAAGCGCACGCAGGCGGUCUGACAAGUCAGAUGUGAAAUCCCCGGGCUUAACCUGGGAACUGCAUUUGAAACUGUCAGGCUGGAGUCUUGUAGAGGGGGGUGGAAUUCCAGGUGUAGCGGUGAAAUGCGUAGAGAUCUGGAGGAAUACCGGUGGCGAAGGCGGCCCCCUGGACAAAGACUGACGCUCAGGUGCGAAAGCGUGGGGAGCAAACAGGAUUAGAGACCCCUGUAGUCCCUGUCUCUUAUAC